AGUGAACGCUGGCGGUAGGCCUAACACAUGCAAGUCGAACGGCAGCACAGUAAGAGCUUGCUCUUACGGGUGGCGAGUGGCGGACGGGUGAGGAAUACAUCGGAAUCUACUUUUUCGUGGGGGAUAACGUAGGGAAACUUACGCUAAUACCGCAUACGACCUACGGGUGAAAGCAGGGGAUCUUCGGACCUUGCGCGAUUGAAUGAGCCGAUGUCGGAUUAGCUAGUUGGCGGGGUAAAGGCCCACCAAGGCGACGAUCCGUAGCUGGUAUGAGAGGGAGUACACACACAUGGUAAGUGAGACAGGGCCCAGACACUGAGGGUGGGCAGCAGUGGGGAAUAUUAGAGGAUGCGGGCAAGCCUGAUCCAGCCAUACCGCGUGGGUGAAGAAGGCGUUCGGGUGCGAAAGCCCUUAUGGUGUGAAAGAAAAGCAGCACGUUUAUACCCCGCGAUUCUGACGGUACCCAAAGAAUAAGCACCGGCUAACUUCGUG
rnacentral:rRNA from 1 species